rnacentral:rRNA from 1 species
UGGGGAAUUUUGGACAAUGGGCGCAAGCCUGAUCCAGCCAUGCCGCGUGAGUGAAGAAGGCCUUCGGGUUGUAAAGCUCUUUCGGACGGGAAGAAAUGGCGGGCUCUAACAUAGCCUGUCGAUGACGGUACCGUAAGAAGAAGCACCGGCUAACUACGUGCCAGCAGCCGCGGUAAUACGUAGGGUGCGAGCGUUAAUCGGAAUUACUGGGCGUAAAGCGUGCGUAGGUGGUUGUUUAAGUCUGAUGUGGAAGCCCUGGGCUCAACCUGGGAAUGGCAUUGGAAACUGGGCAGCUAGAGUGCGGUAGAGGGUAGUGGAAUUCCCGGUGUAGCAGUGAAAUGCGUAGAGAUCGGGAGGAACAUCUGUGGCGAAGGCGACUGCCUGGACCAGCACUGACACUGAGGCACGAAAGCGUGGGGAGCAAACA